rnacentral:rRNA from 1 species
CCUACGGGGGGCAGCAGUGGGGAAUAUUGGGCAAUGGGCGCAAGCCUGACCCAGCAACGCCGCGUGAAGGAAGAAGGCUUUCGGGUUGUAAACUUCUUUUAUCAGGGACGAAGCAAGUGACGGUACCUGAUGAAUAAGCCACGGCUAACUACGUGCCAGCAGCCGCGGUAAUACGUAGGUGGCAAGCGUUAACCGGAUUUACUGGGUGUAAAGGGCGUGUAGGCGGGAAAGCAAGUCGGAUGUGAAAACCAUGGGCUCAACCUGUGGCCUGCAUUUGAAACUGUUGUUCUUGAGUACUGGAGAGGCAGACGGAAUUCCUAGUGUAGCGGUGAAAUGCGUAGAUAUUAGGAGGAACACCAGUGGCGAAGGCGGUCUGCUGGACAGCAACUGACGCUGAGGCGCGAAAGCGUGGGGAGCAAACAGGAUUAGAUACCCGAGUAGUC